CCGGCGCACGGGUGAGUAACGCGUAUGCAACUUGCCUAUCAGAGGGGGAUAACCCGGCGAAAGUCGGACUAAUACCGCAUGGAGCAGGGGUCCCGCAUGGGAAUAUUUGCUAAAGAUUCAUCGCUGAUAGAUAGGCAUGCGUUCCAUUAGGCAGUUGGCGGGGUAACGGCCCACCAAACCGACGAUGGAUAGGGGUUCUGAGAGGAAGGUCCCCCACAUUGGUACUGAGACACGGACCAA
rnacentral:rRNA from 1 species